GUGAGGAAUUUUCCGCAAUGGGCGAAAGCCUGACGGAGCAAUGCCGCGUGAAGGAUGAAGGCCUAUGGGUUGUAAACUUCUUUUCUUAGAGAAGAAUAUUGACGGUAUCUGAGGAAUAAGCAUCGGCUAACUCUGUGCCAGCAGCCGCGGUAAGACAGAGGAUGCAAGCGUUAUCCGGAAUGAUUGGGCGUAAAGCGUCUGUAGGUGGCUUAAAAAGUCUCCUGUCAAAUAUCAGGGCUUAACCCUGGGACGGCAUGAGAAACUCUGAGGCUAGAGUUUGGUAGGGGCAGAGGGAAUUCCCGGUGGAGCGGUGAAAUGCGUAGAGAUCGGGAGGAACACCAAAGGCGAAAGCACUCUGCUGGGCCACAACUGACACUGAGGGACGAAAGCGAGGGGAGCAAAAGGGAUUAGAAACCCGUGUAGUCC
rnacentral:rRNA from 1 species